AGAGCGAACGCGGGCGGCAUGCUUAACACAUGCAAGUCGCACGGGCAGGGGUAACUCUGUCAGUGGCGGACGGGUGAGUAACGCGUAGGUAUCUAUCCUUGGGUGGGGGACAACCGCGGGAAACUGCGGCUAAUACCGCAUGACGACUAAGGUCCAAAGGCCGAAAGGUCGCCUGAGGAGGAGCCUGCGUCCGAUUAGCUUGUUGGUGGGGUAACGGCCUACCAAGGCUCCGAUCGGUAGCUGGUCUGAGAGGAUGAUCAGCCACACUGGGACUGAGACACGGCCCAGACUCCUACGGGAGGCAGCAGUGGGGAAUAUUGGACAAUGGGCGAAAGCCUGAUCCAGCAAUGCCGCGUGUGUGAAGAAGGUCUUCGGAUUGUAAAGCACUUUCGACGGGGACAUAAUGACGGUACCCGUAGAAGAAGCCCCGGCUAACUUCGUGCCAGCAGCCGC
rnacentral:rRNA from 1 species